GGUUAAGCGACUAAGCGUACACGGUGGAUGCCCUGGCAGUCAGAGGCGAUGAAGGGCGUGCUAAUCUGCGAUAAGCGCCGGUAAGGUGAUAUGAACCGUUAUAACCGGCGAUACCCGAAUGGGGAAACCCAGUGUGACUCGUCACACUAUCAUUAACUGAAUCCAUAGGUUAAUGAGGCGAACCGGGGGAACUGAAACAUCUAAGUACCCCGAGGAAAAGAAAUCAACCGAGAUUCCCCCAGUAGCGGCGAGCGAACGGGGAGGAGCCCAGAGCCUGAAUCAGCAUGUGUGUUAGUGGAAGCGUCUGGAAAGGCGCGCGAUACAGGGUGACAGCCCCGUACACAAAAGCGCAUGUGCUGUGAGCUCGAUGAGUAGGGCGGGACACGUGGUAUCCUGUCUGAAUAUGGGGGGACCAUCCUCCAAGGCUAAAUACUCCUGACUGACCGAUAGUGAACCAGUACCGUGAGGGAAAGGCGAAAAGAACCCCGGCGAGGGGAGUGAAAAAGAACCUGAAACCGUGUACGUACAAGCAGUGGGAGCCCCACCACCAAAGCAUUCUCUGGUGUUGAAGGCCCUGCAAAGCAGCAUCGCGGUGGCGGAGCGUCGUUUGCGACGCCCAACACACAAAACAAGCGGUGAGUGCUUUGGGGUGGGGUGACUGCGUACCUUUUGUAUAAUGGGUCAGCGACUUAUAUUCUGUAGCAAGGUUAACCGUAUAGGGGAGCCGUAGGGAAACCGAGUCUUAACCGGGCGUUAAGUUGCAGGGUAUAGACCCGAAACCCGGUGAUCUAGCCAUGGGCAGGUUGAAGGUUGGGUAACACUAACUGGAGGACCGAACCGACUAAUGUUGAAAAAUUAGCGGAUGACUUGUGGCUGGGGGUGAAAGGCCAAUCAAACCGGGAGAUAGCUGGUUCUCCCCGAAAGCUAUUUAGGUAGCGCCUCGUGAAUUCAUCUUCGGGGGUAGAGCACUGUUUCGGCUAGGG
rnacentral:rRNA from 1 species